ACCCGCUGAACUUAAGCAUAUCAAUAAGCGGAGGAAAAGAAACCAACAGGGAUUGCCCUAGUAACGGCGAGUGAAGCGGCAACAGCUCAAAUUUGAAAUCUGGCUCUCGGGCCCGAGUUGUAAUUUGUAGAGGAUGCUUUUGAUGCGGUGCCUUCCGAGUUCCCUGGAACGGGACGCCAUAGAGGGUGAGAGCCCCGUCUGGUUGGAUGCCAAAUCUCUGUAAAGCUCCUUCGACGAGUCGAGUAGUUUGGGAAUGCUGCUCUAAAUGGGAGGUAUAUGUCUUCUAAAGCUAAAUACCGGCCAGAGACCGAUAGCGCACAAGUAGAGUGAUCGAAAGAUGAAAAGCACUUUGAAAAGAGAGUUAAAAAGUACGUGAAAUUGUUGAAAGGGAAGCGUUUAUGACCAGACUUGGGCUUGGUUAAUCAUCUGGGGUUCUCCCCAGUGCACUUUUCCAGUCCAGGCCAGCAUCAGUUUUCGCCGGGGGAUAAAGGCUUCGGGAAUGUGGCUCUCUCCGGGGAGUGUUAUAGCCCGUUGCGUAAUACCCUGGCGCCCCCUGAGGUUCGCGCAUCUGCAAGGAUGCUGGCGUAAUGGUCAUCAACGACCCGUCUUG
rnacentral:rRNA from 1 species